GAUGAACGCUGGCGGCGUGCCUAAUACAUGCAAGUCGAGCGAACGGACGAGGCGCUUGCUUCUCUGAUGUUAGCGGCGGACGGGUGAAUAACACGUGGAUCACCUACCUAUAAGACUGGGAUAACUUCGGGAAACCGGAGCUAAUACCGGAUAAUAUUUUGAACCGCAUGGUGCGAAAGUGAGAGACGGUCUUGCUGUCACUUAUAGAUGGUUCCGCGCUGCAUUAGCUAGUUGGUAAGGUAACGGCUUACCACGGCAACGAUGCAUAGCCGACCUGACAGGGUGAUCGGCCACACUGGAACUGAGACACGGUCCAGACUCCUACGGGACGCAGCAGUAGGGAAUCUUCCGCAAUGGGCGAAAGCCUGACGGAGCAACGCCGCGUGAGUGAUGAAGGUCUUCGGAUCGUAAAACUCUGUUAUUAGGGAAGAACAUAUGUGUAAGUAACUGUGCACAUCUUGACGGUACCUAAUCAGAAAGCCACGGCUAACUACGUG
rnacentral:rRNA from 1 species